rnacentral:rRNA from 1 species
UAAUGUAUGGGGAUCUGCCCGAUAGAGGGGAAUAACUACUGGAAACGGUGGCUAAUACCGCAUAAUGUCUACGGACCAAAGCAGGGGCUCUUCGGACCUUGCACUAUCGGAUGAACCCAUAUGGGAUUAGCUAGUAGGUGGGGUAAAGGCUCACCUAGGCGACGAUCUCUAGCUGGUCUGAGAGGAUGAUCAGCCACACAGGGACUGAGACACGGCCCAG